rnacentral:rRNA from 1 species
CGGGUAGCGGAACACGUACGCAACCUUCCUUUAACUGGAGAAUAGCCCCUCGAAAGAGGGAUUAAUACUCCGUAACAUAUUGAUAAGGCAUCUUAUUAAUAUUAUAGCUCCGGCGGUUAAAGAUGGGCGUGCGCCUGAUUAGAUAGUUGGCGGGGUAACGGCUCACCAAGUCUGCGAUCAGUAACUGGUGUGAGAGCACGACCAGUCACACGGGCACUGAGACACGGGCCCG